UAAAAAUUAGUUAAUUUAUAAUAUUAAUUUGUCAAAUUAGAGUAAUUAUGUUAAAUAAUAUUUUUAG
rnacentral:tRNA from 1 species